GGAGGUGGCAGUCCCACUCUUAUGGCUCCACCAGACAAUUAUUCUGGUGAGGGCUGUCUGGUGGCUUCAUCCUCAUGGCUCCACUGGGCACUGCUCCAGGGGGGACUCUCUAUGGCAGCUUUGCCCCUGGGGCAAGUCCCUGCCUGGCACCUAGGCUGUCCAUGAGAUCCUUUGAAAUCUAGGUGGAGGCUGCCAUGGCUGCGCAGCUUGUGCACUCCACCUUCCUGCAGAACCAGCACCAUGUGGACACCACCAAGGUUUAAGGCCUGUUCCUUCUAAAUGGGUGGGUUGAGCUAUGCUUAACCUUGUUUGAGCAGAGGCUGGAGUGGCUGAGGGGUGCUGCACUAGAAUUUGGGGAGCAGAGUCCUGAUGCACAGAGCAUCUCAUGGACACCUUUCUGGAAAGCUUGACCUCAGGGUCCUAGCUUGCCUCAAAGACCUCUAAAAUGCCUUUGAGGCCAUUUAAUUUUUUCACAUGGCCAGCCUGAGAGUUUUCUAAAUGUUUCCAUUCUGCUUCUCUUUUAAUUACACAGCCCACCUUAAAUCAUUUGUCUCUUCUCAGUUUAUUUUUAGCCACCUAAAGAGCACCUUGAAUGCUUUCCUGCUACUUAGAUAUUUCUUCUGCUCGCUAUCCCAGUUCAUUGCUUUUAAGUUCUGCCUUCUACAAAGGACACAGACACAAUUCUGCCAAAUUCUUUGUAACUGUAUAACCAGGAUGGCCUUUACUCCAGUUUCUAAUACGUUGUUCCUCAUUUCUGUCUGAGCCUCAUCAGAAUAGCCUUUGCUGUCCAUCUUUCUACCAACAUUCUAAUCAUGACCAUUUCAGUCGUCUCUGUGAAGAUUUCGGCUCUCCCUGCAGAACUGCCCUUACUGCUUCAUUCACAACAAUCAAGGCUUUUACAGCCUUCUCCUCCAGGUCAUUCCAGCCUCUCUCCAAUUCCAAAACUACUUCCACAUUUUCAGGUAUUUGUUAUACUAACAGUCCCACUGCUUGAUACCCAUUUUCUGUCUUAGUUUGUGUUGCUGUAACCACAGAGUCGGUAAUUUAUGGAUAAUUUAUUUCUCACACUCCGGAAGCUGAAAAGCCCAAAAUCAAGGUGCUGGCAUCUGGCAAGGGCCUUCUUGGUGCAUCAUCCACGGCAGAGGAGCAAGCGAAGGCCGGCUCCUCUUUCCCGUCCGCCGUGGGUGGAGGCAGUUUGAAGCCCUCACCAGAUGCAGAUGUUGGCACCAUGCUUCUUGUACAGCCCCCAGAACCAUCAGCCAGAUAAACCUCUUUUCUUUAUAAAUUACCCCCAGUUAUUCUUGAUAGCAACACAAAUGAACUAAGGGUUGGUCAUCCUGGGAGCAGGUUCCUGAUCGAAGGAUGAGUUUGUCCCCCUUCCCUCCCUCUCCCCUUCUCUAUGCCCUUCAGUCAUGUGAUGAUGCAUCAGGAAGGCUCUUGCAGAAGCUGAACCCUUGAUCAAUGGACUUCCCAUCCUCCAGAACCAUGAGCCAGAUAAAUUUCUGUUCAUUGUAAACGA